CCUACGGGAGGCAGCAGUGGGGAAUAUUGCACAAUGGGGGAAACCCUGAUGCAGCGACGCCGCGUGAGUGAAGAAGUAAUUCGUUAUGUAAAGCUCUAUUAGUAGGGAAGAAAAUGACGGUACAUGAGUAAGAAGACCCGGCUAACUACGCGCCAGCAGCCGCGGUAAUAUGCAGGGGGCAAGCGUUAUCCGGAUUUACUGGGUGUAAAGGGAGCGUAGACGGCCGUGCAAGUGUGGAGUGAAAGGCGGGGGCUCAACCCCCGGACUGCUCUGGAAACUGUACGGCUUGAGUGCAGGAGAGGUAAGUGGAAUUCCUGGUGUAGCGGUGAAAUGCGUAGAUAUUAGGAAGAACACCAGUGGCGAAGGCGGCUUACUGGACUGUAACUGACGUUGAGGCUCGAAAGCGUGGGGAGCAAACAGGAUUAGAUACCCGUGUAGUC
rnacentral:rRNA from 1 species